rnacentral:lncRNA from 1 species
CACUACUCCGCAAGCCAGUCUGCUGCCAUCCCUCCUGCAGAGCUGUGGGGUGACAGCUGCCUGUCACCUUGUUGAGGAGCAGGCAAAUUCACCUGGUUGGUUUUUCACAUGGAAUAGGCCCCAUUCCCCUGCCCGUCGCAAGCUGAGGAGCGUGGUUCCACUGGGAGAGGCUGGGAAGAGAACAGGGACCUUGCUGUGGCCACCACGGGGGCAGGACCAGGCAGGCGUCCUGCAGGCAGCUGGAGGAUGCCGCAGGGUCCAGGCGUUGGGUAAUCCCAACCCAGCAGCUCCACCCUUGGAGAGAUGUCGGUACUUCCUCAGCAAGUCGGGGGCUCAAGGAGACAGUGCUCAACUUGAGGACACUGAGGAGACUUCCUGACCAUAAACAAGGCUCCGAAACCGCCCUCGGUCCAACGCUGCCUGGUGGCUGCAAGAGCUUGCACGAAGGGUCAGAACGGAUAUCUGAGGGGCAGAAUAUUUUGAGAGAGCUCUGGAUUUUACGUUGCAGCAAUACUUCCUUCCCUCUCCCCCCUUCCCCUAAGUCCUGCCCUGCACUGGUUUCUCUCUUGUGCCCCUUGUUCUUCUCGCCUCCCCAGCUCUUUCCCGUGGCCAGGAAUUUCCCAGCCCCUCCUGCCUUGCUGUUCAGACCGAUUAAAACACAGAGAACAACUUCUUUACAACCAACCUUCGUUACAAACAACCUGUGCUGCAGUAUCUUUGGUGGAAUGACCAUUUCCAAUGUCUGCCUGACGGAAACCAGGACUGAGGCUGCACCUUAUCCUCUCAGCGCAGUAAUUGAACAGCAACUGGCCUCAGUUAAUAUUAUUUUUCAAUAAGUCUUGAAAUGAACCAGACACAGUUCUGCUAAUUAAGGUGAAAAAGCAGCUCAUCCAAGAAAUGGAAGCAAUGUUCUCAGCAAGCAAUUCCAAAGAUAUAUCUAUUUGUUAUACUCUGCGUGUUUAUUAUUAUCCCCAGGAGGUUGUACAGGAUAGAAGUGGAAGAACUUCUAAUGCUGUCUUUAAUUUCCGUGGCAUCUUUUCAUAUCAGCAAACUCCAUCCAACUCUGCCAAAUGAAAGUAGCUAAAUUUCAGGAGAGCAGUGGUGAAUACUUGUCACAGGGUUAAAUCUGCAUUCAAGACGGCAUCAUCUCCAGGCCUCCAGCAUAUGGCACAGAGUAAAGGGGACACAGUAGGGGAGAUCAUGUCCUUCACUAAUGGGAAUAUUCACUUGGGAAGGAGGAGAAGAAAAUAACCCAGUAAUAAGGUCAUCGUUCUCCUGACGGCCCCAUGGGAAAGUCAAGUAGUACUAAGACUGAACUAAUUUUCCUGCUGAGCGUGACAGGCAUGUGGACUCCUCUUCACAUGGAAGCAAAAGCAGCAGGCUGCCAACAGUAGAAGCAGCUCGAAUCCCUUCAGAAAACACUAGAAAUCCCAGGAGAAUAGUCUGCGAAAAGUCUUGAGUCCUUUGGGCAAAUGGUCCUGUGGGAAUUCCCAAGGCACGUAUUUCGAGAUGAUUGUUGCAUGAAGCUGGGACAUAAUUUAGUUCCUAGUUUAUCCCAGCAUUACCAAAAGAUGAAACGUUGCACCAUAACUGUUGAGAACUGCAUUUCUCUUGUGAUGCAAUCCUUAGAGAAGUGGAAAUAAAUACACUGCUGCCUCGGCA